AGCGAACGCUGGCGGCGUGCUUAACACAUGCAAGUCAAACGGCAUUUGAGUAGCAAUACUCGAGUGCAGUGGCGAACGGGUGAGUAACACGUGGGUAAUCUUCCCCCGAGUGAGGAAUAAGCUUGCGAAAGCGGGUCUAAUACCGCAUAACGUCCCGAGGCGCAUGCCUUGGGACCAAAGCCGUAAGGCGCUUGGGGAUGAGCCUGCGUCCUAUUAGCUAGUUGGUAGGGUAAUGGCCUACCAAGGCGAUGAUGGGUAGCCGGCCUGAGAGGGUGAUCGGCCACACUGGAACUGAGACACGGUCCAGACUCCUACGGGAGGCAGCAGUGAGGAAUUUUGCGCAAUGGGCGAAAGCCUGACGCAGCGACGCCGCGUGGAGGAUGACGGCCUUCGGGUUGUAAACUCCUGUCAGAAGUGAAGAAUGCCCGCAAGGGCUUGACGGUAACUUCAGAGGAAGCCCCGGCUAACUACGUGCCAGCCGCCGCGGUAAGAC
rnacentral:rRNA from 1 species